AAGUCACAGCAUUUUAUAAUAAAGUGCUGCUCAACCACCUCAGAAGGUUUAGAAAGUCACCAUCACAGAUGGGUUCAUUAACAAUGAAAACUUCAUAGGAUUUAAAUACAGAAGAAAUCUUAGACCAGUGGAAUUCUAACACCUGAAGCAAAUUCAGUUGAAGCUGGACAAGGAGAGAUUAAGUCAAAGGCUGAUGGGGUCCCUUCAUGGAGCAGCUCAGCAGAGUGACUAGAUUUUUGAACAGGAAAUCCAGCAGAUAUGAAGUUCAAAUCCAGCUCAUACUGAUUAACUUCAUGAUCCUUAGUCAACUAUAGAUGUCAUUGUCCCUGGACAUGAAGAGGAGAUCUGCUAUUCCUCUUGUCUGCUAUUUCCCUGUAUCAGCCACAACAAGGUUCCCAGUCAUGCUUCCUCAGGGAUCUGCAAUGACCCACUUUUCUAGAAGUUACCUAAACUUAGUAACCUUCAACAAAAUCAAGCAUUCAAAUAAACAAGUUAAGUAAAAAAUGGCCAUACCUGAAGCCAUAAACUCCAAACUAUUUACAACUGAUUUAAAAUGUUUAUGUUAACUUUCACAAAAUAAUAACAAAAACGUCCUGUUUGCUUCUCUGUCCUCUUUUGGUAACUUUUUUUCCCCAUGUACUUUUUUGGUGGGUUUUGUGGCUGUUAUUAUCAUUCCUUCUCAGAACUCUUCUAAUGCCUUAAUGUUGUAUGGAGGUGACCCGAAUUCCUUGAAUUUCUGUAAGUAGAACAUGAUUACUGACAGACUUUAGCAAUCUGACAAGGCUUGGAUUAAGGUCCAAGGAAUAUAUUCUAUGGGAGGACCAGCUUAAUUUAAAAUGGGAAUGCUCACCAUUAGCAGGUUGGCUGCUGAGUAAUGAAUCCUUUAUGAAUGAUGAUGUAUAUAACAAAAAUAAAAUUAAGUAAAAUGUCCUUCAUUUCUGUGUGAUCCCCUUCUCUUUCUGUAGUGUUAGUGACCAAGUAGCUCAGUAGUGAAAAAGAGAGCAGAUGCUAAGAAUUGUUGUUAAACCAUCUGGAAUCAUUAACUUAAUUGCUGAUAGUCUAAGUGGAAUAUCCUUUUCCAGUAAUAAUCAAGUUGAUAUACAAUUCAAUACUACGUACCACUCAACCACAUCAAUAUUGGCAUAGGAUCAUAGGUUUAGAGUUCAAAGAGA